GAACUGCGAUAAGUAAUGUGAAUUGCAGAAUUCAGUGAAUCAUCGAGUCUUUGAACGCACAUUGCGCCCCCUGGCAUUCCGGGGGGCAUGCCUGUCCGAGCGUCAUUGCUGCCCUUCAAGCCCGGCUUGUGUGUUGGGUCGUCGUCCCCCCCGGGGGACGGACCAGAAAGGCAGCGGCGGCACCGUGUCCGGUCCUCGAGCGUAUGGGGCUUUGUCACCCGCUCGAUUAGGACCGGCCGGGCGCCCGCCGGCGUCAAACCCCAAUCUUUCUAAGGUUGACCUCGGAUCAGGUAGGGAUACCCGCUGAACUUAAGC
rnacentral:misc_RNA from 1 species